UACAGAGGUCUCAAGCGUUUGUUCGGAUUCAUUGGGCGUAAAGGGUGCGUAGGUGGCGAGCAAGUCAGAUGUGAAAUCCCGGGGCUCCACCCGGAACUGCAUUUGAAACUGCCUUGCUCGAGUACUGGAGAGGAGACUGGAAUUUACGGUGUAGCAGUGAAAUGCGUAGAUAUCGUAAGGAAGACCAGUGGCGAAGGCGAGUCUCUGGACAGUUACUGACACUGAGGCACGAAGGCCAGGGAGCAAACGGG
rnacentral:rRNA from 1 species